ACCAAGGAGGAGGCGCUGGACCACACCACUGCCACACCAGGGAGAGGGAGAUGCGCCACCGACGAGCUGAAGAGGAGGAGCGACACUGGGACCACCGCGGCCCAGGGAGCUUCGCCAUUCCUGCGCCCUGAACGUCGACCACGGCGUUGCUGCUCGUCAGGCACAGCAUCGCCUCCUCACUGCCACGCCUCGUCACGGCCCCGAGCCCUUCGUCGCCAAGCCACACGGUAGAGCUGAUCGACGCCCUGACGCCAGAAGACCCAGGAGGACGUCCCGGACUACGAGAAGCCCCUGAGACUCCAGAAGACUACGAAGAGUUACAAGGUUCACGCCCAUCUAUGAAAUUGAAUCCUAUUAGGCAUUGCUUGCUAGAUUAUGCUAUCGCUUUACUUUAUGUUAAGUUGAGAUAAACCUGCAUAGCCUAUUGUUUAUCUACAUUCCUUGUACUCCUAUUGCACCUUGAAUUGAUAUGUGAGAUGCUUU